UCCUGGCUCAGAUUGAACGCUGGCGGCAUGCUUUACACAUGCAAGUCGAACGGCAGCGGGGGCUUCGGCCUGCCGGCGAGUGGCGAACGGGUGAGUAAUGCAUCGGAACGUGCCCAUGUCGUGGGGGAUAACGUAGCGAAAGCUACGCUAAUACCGCAUACGCCCUGAGGGGGAAAGCGGGGGAUUCUUCGGAACCUCGCGCGAUUGGAGCGGCCGAUGUCGGAUUAGCUAGUAGGUGAGGUAAAGGCUCACCUAGGCGACGAUCCGUAGCGGGUCUGAGAGGAUGAUCCGCCACACUGGGACUGAGACACGGCCCAGACUCCUACGGGAGGCAGCAGUGGGGAAUUUUGGACAAUGGGCGCAAGCCUGAUCCAGCCAUGCCGCGUGAGUGAAGAAGGCCUCGGUGU
rnacentral:rRNA from 1 species